UACGGAGGGUGCGAGCGUUGUCCGGAAUCACUGGGCGUAAAGGGCGCGUAGGCGGCCCGGCAAGUCAGGAGUGAAAGCCCUGGGCUCAACCCGGGAACUGCUUUUGAAACUGCCGAGCUAGAGUGCGGAAGGGGCAACUGGAAUUCCCAGUGUAGCGGUGAAAUGCGUAGAUAUUGGGAAGAACACCUGAGGCGAAGGCGGGUUGCUGGGCCGACACUGACGCUGAGGCGCGAAAGCCAGGGGAGCGAACGGG
rnacentral:rRNA from 1 species